CGUGACUCCGCAUUCUGUGCUGCAGCUUCCGAGUUGAUAUCUACUUCUCCGUUAAUAAGAUCUCCCUUCCUUGGAAACAAUUUGAAGACGUUUCGGAAAUCGAACCAGCUUCCUCCCACACCGAGGGUAGCCACAUUAACCGCCCAUCUGUGGAGCCGGAACCCGAGUGUAUUAUCGUGCAGGAAUAAGAUCUGUCACGACGCCUUGCAAACUGGAGCGCUACGACCCAGACAGUCGUGCUGUCAGUGCAGCACAGUCGCUGUCCCCUACGUUCGGGCUGUGGUUUGCGCCCCACUCUGAACAGCCGCCCCCUGUUUGCAGCGCGGGCUGUGGCUCCAGCAGUCCCAGCACCGCCACUCGGCCACUCGGCGACCCCGGACGCUCUCCUGCCGCGGCUGCCGGCCACACUCCGCCGCCUCCAGACGACGCGGCCGUCUCUCGCCUGCGGAGCCUCUCUCAACAGGAGAGAGGGAGGAGGCUGAUAGAGGCGGCCAUGCAGGGCGCGGCGGAGCAGCUGCGCGAGUUGCUGGCGGCGGGGGCGGACGUGGGGUCGAGGGGGGAGGGGUUGGGG